UGUCCUGCACCCCAGAAGAAUAAGCAGAAGGUUGAAAAAACAGAUAUUCCAAGCAGAAUUGAUGACAUCGACGCUGCAAUUUGUAAUUAUUUAUGGAAUAGUGAGUUAGAAUCGGGAUAUUCUGUAAUCUCAAUGGGAAAUCAAUUCGCUA